UAUGUUCAAGGUACAGAAAAGGAAUCUAUAGUAAAUUAUAACAAAUACAGUUAUUCAUAGUAAAUGUAUGUAAGUAUGUACAGAAAUAUAUCCGCAGUGACCGCCGUUGAUUAUAAACCAUAGGCGGAUCCCAUGGGGGGCCUGGAGGCCCUGCCCCCCAUUUCGUUGAAAAAAUUGGUUGAUUAUAUGGGGAAUCACUGAAGCAUGAGAGGAACGCCCCCCCC
rnacentral:lncRNA from 1 species